UCCCAGACUCCUACGGGAGGCAGCAGUGAGGAAUAUUGGUCAAUGGCCGAGAGGCUGAACCAGCCAAGUCGCGUGAGGGAUUAAGGCCCUAUGGGUCGUAAACCUCUUUUGUCAGGGAGCAAUGGCGUCCACGUGUGGGCGUAUGGAGAGUACCUGAAGAAAAAGCAUCGGCUAACUCCGUGCCAGCAGCCGCGGUAAUACGGAGGAUGCGAGCGUUAUCCGGAUUUAUUGGGUUUAAAGGGUGCGCAGGCGGGAGAUCAAGUCAGCGGUAAAAUGUCGGGGCUCAACCCCGGCCGGCCGUUGAAACUGGUUUUCUAGAGUUGGAGAGAAGUAUGCGGAAUUCGUGGUGUAGCGGUGAAAUGCAUAGAUAUCACGAAGAACUCCGAUUGCGAAGGCAGCAUACCGGCUCCAUACUGACGCUGAGGCACGAAAGCGUGGGGAUCGAACAGGAUUAGAUACCCCGGUAGG
rnacentral:rRNA from 1 species